rnacentral:rRNA from 1 species
CUACGGGUGGCUGCAGUGAGGAAUAUUGCGCAAUGGGGGAAACCCUGACGCAGCGACGCCGCGUGGAUGAUGAAGGCCUUCGGGUCGUAAAAUCCUGUCAGAAGGAAAGAAGUGUAUGGUAGCUAAUAUCUGCCAUACUUGACGGUACCUUCAAAGGAAGCACCGGCUAACUCCGUGCCAGCAGCCGCGGUAAUACGGAGGGUGCAAGCGUUGUUCGGAAUUACUGGGCGUAAAGCGCGCGUAGGCGGUUUAUAAGUCAGAUGUGAAAGUCCACGGCUCAACCAUGGAAGUGCAUUUGAAACUGUAAGACUUGAGUAUUGGAGGGGGUAGUGGAAUUCCCGGUGUAGAGGUGAAAUUCGUAGAUAUCGGGAGGAAUACCGGUGGCGAAGGCGACUAUCUGGCCAAAUACUGACGCUGAGGUGCGAAAGCGUGGGGAGCAAACAGGAUUAGAUACCCCAGUAGUC